rnacentral:rRNA from 1 species
UACGUAGGGGGCAAGCGUUGUCCGGAAUCAUUGGGCGUAAAGAGCGUGUAGGCGGCUCGGUAAGUCCGCUGUGAAAGUCCAGGGCUCAACCCUGGAAUGCCGGUGGAAACUGUCGAGCUCGAGUCCGGAAGAGGCGAGUGGAAUUCCUGGUGUAGCGGUGAAAUGCGCAGAUAUCAGGAGGAACACCAAUGGCGAAGGCAGCUCGCUGGGACGGUACUGACGCUGAGACGCGAAAGCGUGGGGAGCAAACAGG